GACGAACGCUGGCGGCGUGCUUAACACAUGCAAGUCGAACGGAAAGGCCCUGCUUUUGUGGGGUGCUCGAGUGGCGAACGGGUGAGUAACACGUGAGUAACCUGCCCUUGACUUUGGGAUAACUUCAGGAAACUGGGGCUAAUACCGGAUAGGAGCUCCUGCUGCAUGGUGGGGGUUGGAAAGUUUCGGCGGUUGGGGAUGGACUCGCGGCUUAUCAGCUUGUUGGUGGGGUAGUGGCUUACCAAGGCUUUGACGGGUAGCCGGCCUGAGAGGGUGACCGGCCACAUUGGGACUGAGAUACGGCCCAGACUCCUACGGGAGGCAGCAGUGGGGAAUAUUACACAAUGGGCGGAAGCCUGAUGCAGCAACGCCGCGUGCGGGAUGACGGCCUUCGGGUUGUAAACCGCUUUCGCCUGUGACGAAGCGUGAGUGACGGUAAUGGGGAAAGAAGCACCGGCUAACUACGU
rnacentral:rRNA from 1 species